UACGUAGGGUGCGAGCGUUGUCCGGAAUUAUUGGGCGUAAAGGGUGCGUAGGCGGUUUGGUAAGUCUGAUGUGAAAUCUAUGGGCUCAACUCAUAGUCUGCAUCGGAAACUGCCGGGCUUGAGUGUGGGGAGAGGUGAGUGGAAUUCCUGGUGUAGCGGUGAAAUGCGUAGAUAUCAGGAGGAACACCUGUGGCGAAAGCGGCUCACUGGACCAUAACUGACGCUGAUGCACGAAAGCUAGGGGAGCAAACAGG
rnacentral:rRNA from 1 species